rnacentral:misc_RNA from 1 species
UCAAACUUGGUCAUUUAGAGGAAGUAAAAGUCGUAACAAGGUUUCCGUAGGUGAACCUGCGGAAGGAUCAUUACCGAGUUAGGGUCCCUAGGGCCCAACUUUCCACACCUUGUCUUUAAACCACGUUGCUUUGGCGGGCCGAGGCCCUAAAGCCCCGCCGGCUCUAUGCUGGCGCGAGCCCGCCAAAGGUUAUUUUAAAAUCUUUAACCAUGAGUCUGAGAAAAAAAUAAAAUAGCUGAAAAACUUUCAACAACGGAUCUCUUGGUUCUGGCAUCGAUGAAGAACGCAGC